GAUGAACGCUGGCGGCGUGCCUAAUACAUGCAAGUCGAACGAAAAGAGGAGCUUGCUUCUCUUUUAGUGGCGAACGGGUGAGUAAUACAUAAGCAACCUACCUAUUUGACCGGGAUAACAGUUGGAAACGACUGCUAAUACCGGAUAGGUGCGCGGGGGACAUCCCCUGCACAUUAAAGCUGGGACACAGCACGAAUGGAUGGGCUUAUGGCGCAUUAGUUAGUUGGCGGGGUAACGGCCCACCAAGACGAUGAUGCGUAGCCGACCUGAGAGGGUGACCGGCCACACUGGGACUGAGACACGGCCCAGACUCCUACGGGAGGCAG
rnacentral:rRNA from 1 species